rnacentral:lncRNA from 10 species
AAGAUGAGUGUGUGAGGACCCUAUUGAGGGGGCACAAUGAUAGUACCCUGCCUAAUCUCGGCCAAGGGAUCGAGAGUCAGAGGGACAUUUUGUCCAUGUGAAUGUCUCUUUGCUGAGUGACAGGUUAUUGAUCAGCAUGAGAUGGGAGAACCAAACAGCAAACGGUAACACAGAAAGCAAAAGGCCCUUCAAGGCAUUCCAGAAACAGAAAAGGAAAAGUCCUGUUGUCAAGACCUCCAAGGACAAGAACCAGUGAAGCCUGGUAACAAACACAUUAUGCUUUGAAGAUCUGCCAGUUAACAGCUGUGUGGUCUCUCUCCGAUUAACAUCUCUCAGCCCUUUUUUCACCUUUAUGAGAUGGGGAUUAUAAUACCACAUCCCUUGUAGGGCCAUUGUGAGGAUUGAAUGAGCUAAUGCAUGCCCACGUGCCCACCUCAUGGUGGGAGCAAGCCAUUGCCUCCCCCUCAGAGGACCCAGUGGAGAGAAGGUUGACAGCUUGGCAUUCUCUUUGGAAUGGCUGUUGACUUCGCACUGCCAUCCACAGAAGAGCUCCAUAACCCCACCCAAGGGCACGGAAUGGCCUUUCCUUAAAGGUGAAGCACAACAUCAUUCUCAAGUGCCUUUGCAAAUGACGAAGACCAGAACUGGUCAUUUACCCAGGCCGAGCCAGACCUAUAUGAUACAUCAAAAGCAGAACAGAAAGAAAGGGAAUGAGAGAAUCCAAAUGAGUUUAUUUGUCCAUUAAAUAAAUAUGCAAAAUUAUGCAGAUGUGGAAAU